rnacentral:lncRNA from 1 species
GCAAGCUUUUUUCUCUCUCCAAAACGUGCUGUCAGUGUGUUCUAAUUUACUCUGUAAGGAAUUCUGGAGCUAAUCAUAGGCUCACAAAAAGCAGCACAGGAAAGUUUCCCAGAUAACAUCUAUUUCAGUGGCUUUCAAACAUUUUUGACCUUACCAAAGUAAGAAAUACAUUUUAAUAUCAUGGCACACAUACAGCUGUAUCUAAACUUUCAUAAUACUGCCUUUACGAUAUCACUCUGAUAUUGUCUAUUCUUUUCUGUUUAUUUUUCUUUUUGUUCCUUGUUAUGCUGGUUGUGACCCACUCCAGUGAUUUCACAAUGCAGGCUGGGUGGUGUCCCACAGUUUGAAAUCCCAAUCUAGGGCCUUCCUCUCACUGUACAAAGUAGGUAACUGGGGACAUUAGUGGAUCAGUGAUCAAACCAAAGUUAUUUGAUCUUACCAAGUGAUAUCAGGAUGAGAAAGCUGUUAGAGUGUCAGAUAUGUGAAGGAACUUGGGUCAUUCCUGAUACCUCAAAGAGAAAAAAGGUAGUCCUUGAACACCUCCUACUUGUAAAGGAUGCACAAUCCUACAUGCCCCUCCCUUUCCUUUCCUCCCCUCUGUACCCCACCCCUGCCCACAUUUUCUUCAUAAGCAGCUUUGGUGUUUUGGCUUGUUUGUUUCCCUUGUCUCCUACCUGUGACUUUAUAGCCUUUUGGAGACUCACAGCAAUAGUUGUAUUUAAACUCAAUGCAAAACUCCGAUCUCCACCUCUAUCCUCACAGACUGUAACAGACGCCUGACGUCAGUGGUCUAGACCUCUCUGCUGAAUGUCAUCUUUGGUGAAUGUCUUAUGAGAAAACACAUGUCCUUGUCCUUCAGAUGCUAUGCAGGAUGCCCUCUUUCCUGUCAAUACAAGCU